GCCUAAGCAAAGUUGUGCCUCCUUCGCAGUUUCCGUAAUCAGGAAGUAACUCUUUGUUUACAUCGUGGGCAAGUUAGGGGAAAAUACCUCAAACCAAAGCUGUACAAUAGACAUGGCCGACGACAUACUCUUUGAGUUCCUACACCUGGAGAUGGUGUCACAUAUUUACAAAGACCAAGCCUCAAGAGGGGAAAUGGACAAGGAUAGGGCCUCUUGUGUGUUCACUCUAGAAGGCAUGGGCUUCAGAGUAGGACAGGGGCUUAGAGAAAGGCCAUAGCCACCAUGGUGCACUGCGACAGGCCCUCCCCUCACCAGAGUACUCACUGGGUCAUGAGGGCUAUGGGGGCACACGCUGCCCUCGGGAUCAAACCUUUAGGCGGACAGAUUAAAAAGGAGAGAUUGGGUGGUUCUGCCCUCUCACCUUCCAAACCAGCUCAUCAUGACAGAUAUGCAGAGCAGCACAACAACAGACACCUUCCCUGUCUCUUCUCAUCUCAGAACUGACACAGUCCUCAAUAGAAAGCCACAUCCCCUAAACCCAUAGAAGAGUUACUCUUGCUUAUCCUUCAAUGUUUACCUAAUGUCAGUGGUAAUCCGGGCAUUUGUGGCCAGUCGACCCCAUCGAGUCCUUCACAGCUGUCUCACCCUAUGUCAUCGCUGCUGGGAUCCAAUGGGCUACCCCCAAAAAUAAUGACCCCUUUGUCCAACCCCUUUACCUCCUCCUCUCCCCCACCCCUCCCACCUCCACCCAUUUGGCCUCUCCCUGGUUACAGAGCAUUUGUUUGCCUGUCUUUGGCUCUAAUGGAUGCUUUUUGCCUUCCAUCUCUCUCCCUGACUGGCCUUGUACCUUUGUGCGGGAGCGCCAUAGCACUUUUCGUGUUUAAUUGAAUCAACAGAAUUGCUGUUACAAGGAACGGAAUGGCAGGGUGGGGGAAGGCCAACGGUGGGGAAGAGGCCACCUGUGCGGUACCUGCUGAGCAUGCCUGAUGGGUGUCAGGGCCUCUUCAUUGGGCUAAAUUAAGCCUGUGUGUAUUUUGCUAACUCUAAUGGGACCCAGAUGGAUAGAGGAGGCUGACUGUUUUUCUAGUGUAGGGUGAGCAAGGAGAAAGAUCCACUGGUGAACUCAUUAUCAUGACCCGAGUGGGUUUUUUCCCUUCUGGCCACACUGAUUAAUCCUGGGAAAUGAAGGUAAACAUGUGACCGAAUUACAAUCUGUAUUUGUCAUUAGGAGUAAUUGAGGAUAGAAUGAAAUUUAACAAUCUGUUUUUGAGUGUUAAUGGAAAGUUUGAAUAACUAUUGACUUUCCUUUGUGAAAGUAAUAUUACGACCCUUCAGUAGCAACACUUCACAUUAUGCUUUAGGAAAUAAAGCAUAUCAUGACAUACUCACCAACAUGAAACAACAUGAAAUUUGUGCAACAAUAAGUGUGGCUGCUAUAAAAAUAUUUUUCCCAUA